CAUCGCCGCGGGAAUACGGAGGGGGCUAGCGUUGUUCGGAAUUACUGGGCGUAAAGCGCACGUAGGCGGCUUGGUAAGUUAGAGGUGAAAGCCCGGAGCUCAACUCCGGAAUUGCCUUUAAGACUGCCGAGCUAGCAGGUGAGAGAGGUAAGUGGAAUUCCGAGUGUAGAGGUGAAAUUCGUAGAUAUUCGGAAGAACACCAGUGGCGAAGGCGGCUUACUGGCUCAUACUGGACGCUGAGGUGCGAAAGCGUGGGGAGCAAACAGGAUUAGAUACCCGUGUAGUCCCUGUCUCUUAUACA
rnacentral:rRNA from 1 species